GUUUCUCAAACCGUGCCUUCCCAUUUAUGCUGCAUCCGCGCCCUGAAUCUGAAAUUGGUCGUCCUGCCACGCCGCCUCACCGCGGUAUAAGGUCGUCCCAUCCUGAAUGGCCGGUGCGCAGACUCAAUUGCGACUUUGAGGCUGUCAGCCGCCACCCGGCAACCUUCCAGUGAACAGGAUUCUGGGUUUCUCAAAGCUGUAAUUGGAGGUAUGAUGGCGACGCCCACUUGACUCCUACCUGGGGCGGCCAUGUUUAAAACUGUGCCGUAAAACGGAUGAUUAAGCCCUUUGCUAGACCAAAAGAUAAGGCUAUUUUAGGACAAGGAGAAGGAAGUGUCCCUGGAUCCCUAAACAGAGAUGUCGUCUCUGCUCUUAACUCAGCAUCUCAGAUGCCAAAACCUCCUGUGGCCAACAUGGUGGCGCCCAGACAUCAAAGCUGAGCUUUCUUUGUCUCCGGCAGCCUGGGCCACUCCAGAGGUGUUAAAGCUCCAGCACUUCGAGCCUGCCUCGUGGGAAAGUCUUAGGCUGAGUCUGUAGGUGUCUGCAGUUAAGAAGCCAGCGGUCUGCAUAUGAUUGCUCAGGGGUGGUGGCUGGGUCCAACAGCAUUCACUACAGGCCUGCCUUGAAUACCACCUAGCGCAGUGCUCCGCAUAUCACAGGGGCUGGAAACCUAACAAUUUCACUUCCUAGACAACUUGCUAAAAGUCACCUAAAGACAGUCUGGUUACUGCCAAAGAUAUGCUUUCAAAUAAGAUUUGGAUAAAGAAGGGAGGUAGAUGCCUUUUUUCAGCAGUGGAGUGAUGUCUAGACCAGUAGAUGUACGCAUCUAAGUGAAUUCAUCACCAGCAACAAUUUCCAGAAACUUCCUGACCUCCAGAUUGCAGCUUCAUUAGUGUGAGUUUAAAGCCAACUAGAUGCCAUUCUCAGAUUCCACGCAUAUGGCCAAGGGUCCAGGAAAUAAGAAGAAACAGGUUGAGGGGUUGGUGUUAUGGGGCAUUUACUUGAAUUUUCUAUGCUAUAAUUGUCUCAUCUUUAAAACGGUGAUAAUAAUAAAAUUGUCAGUUAUUAAAUAAAUUAACACAGUGAAAAAA
rnacentral:lncRNA from 10 species